AGACUUUUAAAAAUUUUGAAAAAGUUUUGUGUUAAAUGGAUUUUUGGUGAUGUUGAAAUGGAUUUUUAAAACUUAUGGUAUUGAAAAAAGUAUCGUUA